CGAGUUUCAGCCACAAGAAUUUUCAGAAAGAAAAAGAAAGUCAGAGAGAGUGAAAGAGAUCGAGAGACAGAGAGAGAUAGUUAGAUCGAGAAGAGAAGUAGUUGAUGGGAGAGUUAGAUCGAGAAGAGAAGAUAGUUGAUAACUGAAGAUGAGGCUUUUCUUAAAUUGAUAUUGCUGUUGAGUUGUGAAUAGAGGGAAGAACAGAUGGAGAACAUGGCUUUUUUCUUGGCAGAAUGGGGUUUGACGCAGUACGCGGUGGUAAUGUUCCGUCCAUCGAUGUUGGCCGCCUUUGCAGUCUAUGCAGCACAGUACAUAUAUAGACUGAACAAGACCCCACUCUGGGACAAAACUCUUUAGAUUUAUACGGGUCACUGGAUCUCAGUUAGUGUAAGCUUUUUCUCUGUAUUUACAUUUUCCAUACUAGAUCAACAUAACUGCACUGUGGACAGACAUGUUUGAUGUUUUUUGCCAAAAAAGACAAACUCAUCCAUUUUAUUUCUUAUUUGACUUUACACGGUGAUUUUACAAGUUAUUGGUGAGCUUCCAUGCUGGGGUAGCUGAAGAUAAGCCGAGGGUGGUGUUCCACAAAUACUCCAGUCCUAAACGUAGUGUCGUUGCUUUACUUGCCCCAGCCAAAACGCUUUUGGCUUCGUGAUAAAGUAAUGGAGAAUACAACUGAAUUAUUCUUAAUUGUGUUAGGUCUCUUUUCUACAGUAUAUUCAAUCUAUAUUUAUUAGUAUAGUUUAGUGUAAACGAUUGAUCAUUGGUAUAAUGACGGGUGAAUUCAAUGAGCUCAUGUAAUUAACUAAUUUGAAAUUAAUUAAUUUAUUGAAUAGAGAAAUUUAUUUGAACUCA